rnacentral:rRNA from 1 species
UCAAAUGAAUUGACGGGGAGCACCACAACGGGUGGAGCUUGCGGUUUAAUUGGAUUCAACGCCGGAAAUCUUACCGGGACCGACAGCAAUAUGAAGGCCAGGCUGAAGACUUUGCCGGAUUAGCUGAGAGGUGGUGCAUGGCCGUCGUCAGUUCGUACUGUGAAGCAUCCUGUUAAGUCAGGCAACGAGCGAGACCCACGCCCACAGUUGCCAGCGUACUCUCUGGAGUGACGGGUACACUGUGGGACCGCCGCUGCUAAAGCGGAGGAAGGAAUGGGCAACGGUAGGUCAGUAUGCCCCGAAUAUCCCGGGCUACACGCGAGCUACAAUGGUUGGUACAAUGGGUAUCUACCCGAAAGGGACGGGAAUCUCCUAAACCAAUCUUAGUUCGGAUUGAGGGCUGCAACUCGCCCUCAUGAAGCUGGAAUCCGUAGUAAUCGCGUUUCAACAGAACGCGGUGAAUACGUCCCUGCUCCUU